GCGGCGUGCCUAAUACAUGCAAGUCGAGCGGACAGAAGGGAGCUUGCUCCCGGAUGUUAGCGGCGGACGGGUGAGUAACACGUGGGUAACCUGCCUGUAAGACUGGGAUAACUCCGGGAAACCGGAGCUAAUACCGGAUAGUUCCUUGAACCGCAUGGUUCAAGGAUGAAAGACGGUUUCGGCUGUCACUUACAGAUGGACCCGCGGCGCAUUAGCUAGUUGGUGAGGUAACGGCUCACCAAGGCGACGAUGCGUAGCCGACCUGAGAGGGUGAUCGGCCACACUGGGACUGAGACACGGCCCAGACUCCUACGGGAGGCAGCAGUAGGGAAUCUUCCGCAAUGGACGAAAGUCUGACGGAGCAACGCCGCGUGAGUGAUGAAGGUUUUCGGAUCGUAAAGCUCUGUUGUUAGGGAAGAACAAGUGCAAGAGUAACUGCUUGCACCUUGAACGGUACCUAACCAGAAAGCCACGGCUAACUACGUGCCAGCAGCCGCGGUAAUACGUAGGUGGCAAGCGUUGUCCGGAAUUAUUGGGCGUAAAGGGCUCGCAGGCGGUUUCUUAAGUCUGAU
rnacentral:rRNA from 1 species